GACGAACGCUGGCGGCGUGCCUAAUACAUGCAAGUCGAACGCAAAACUUUCACCGAAUGCUUGCAUUCACGAAAGGUUUGAGCGGCGAACGGGUGAGUAACACGUGGGUAACCUGCUCAGAAGAGGGGGAUAACACUUGGAAACAGGUGCUAAUACCGCAUAAUAACAAAAACCGCAUGGUUUUUGUUUGAAAGAUGGUUUUGCUAUCACUUCUGGAUGGACCCGCGGCGUAUUAGCUAGUUGGUAAAGUAAAGGCUUACCAAGGCAAUGAUACGUAGGCGAACUGAGAGGUUGAUCGGCCACAUUGGGACUAGACACGGCCCAAACUCCUACGGGAGGCAGCAGUAGGGAAUCUUCCACAAUGGACGAAAGUCUGAUGGAGCAACGCCGCGUGAGUGAAGAAGGUUUUCGGAUCGUAAAACUCUGUUGUUAGAGAAGAACGUGUGUGAGAGUAACUGCUCAUGCAGUGACGGUAUCUAACCAGAAAGCCACGGCUAACUACGUGCCAGCAGCCGCAGUAA
rnacentral:rRNA from 1 species